CCCCUAGAUGUUCUGGGCCGCACGCGCGCUACACUGAACAGUUCAACAAGUCUUAACCUUGGCCGAUAGGUCUGGGUAAUCUUUGAACGCUGUUCGUGAUUGGGAUAGACCUUUGCAAUUAUGGGUCUUCAACGAGGAAUUCCUAGUAAACGCAAGUCAUCAGCUUGCAUUGAUUACGUCCCUGCCCUUUGUACACACCGCCCGUCGCUCCUACCGAUUGAAUGGUCCGGUGAAGCGCUCGGACCGCGGCCUCUUGACGGUUCGCUGUCGAUUGGCUGUGGGAAGUUCGUUAAACCUUAUCAUUUAGAGGAAGGAGAAGUCGUANCA
rnacentral:rRNA from 1 species